UCAGGGAAUUUCCUCUUACUUGAUUGGGGAAUCCAAUCAGGAGCAGUGAAAGAUAGGCAAAUACCUUGAUGAUUUGCUCUUAUAAGGACUCAUCACUUCUCAGGACACACUUUGAAAAUUUCUUCAUUAUUUAGUUUGGCAAUGUAAUUUCCUAUAGAAAAACUUGCCAAAUGCACCUAAAAGGAGUUAUUCUUAAGAAGGAGAAUGAAGAUACAACCCUUUAACUGAGAUCAAGGUUUCUUCCUGAGCAU
rnacentral:lncRNA from 13 species